rnacentral:rRNA from 1 species
ACGCUCGACACCUACGGGGCAGCAGUGGGGAAUAUUGCACAAUGGGGGAAACCCUGAUGCAGCGACGCCGCGUGAGCGAAGAAGUAUUUCGGUAUGUAAAGCUCUAUCAGCAGGGAAGAAACUGACGGUACCUGACUAAGAAGCACCGGCUAAAUACGUGCCAGCAGCCGCGGUAAUCUGAGCGGGCUGGCAAGGC